GGUGAACGCUAGCGGCAGGCCUAAUACAUGCAAGUCGAACGGUGUCUUCGGACAUAGUGGCGCACGGGUGCGUAACACGUAUGCAACCUACCUUACAUUGGGGGAUAGCCUUUCGAAAGGGAGAUUAAUACCGCAUAAGACAGUAGCUGGGCACCCAGCAGCUGUUAAAGAUUUAUCGAUGUAAGCUGGGCAUGCGUCCAAUUAGCUAGUUGGUGAGGUAACGGCUCACCAAGGCAAUGAUUGGUAGGGGAACUGAGAGGUCAAUCCCCCACACUGGCACUGAGAUACGGGCCAGACUCCUACGGGAGGCAGCAGUAGGGAAUAUUGGGCAAUGGACGCAAGUCUGACCCAGCCAUGCCGCGUGCAGGAUGAAGGCGUUAUGCGUUGUAAACUGCUUUUAUACAGGAAGAAACGACUCUUGCGAGAGGCAUUGACGGUACUGUAUGAAUAAGCACCGGCUAACUCCGUGCCAGCCGCCGCGGUAAUAC
rnacentral:rRNA from 1 species